rfam:TPA: Bos taurus chromosome X, whole genome shotgun sequence.
UCCCUGGUAGCUCAGACGGUAAAGCGUCUAUCUACAACGCAGGAGACCCGGGUUCAAUCCCUGGGUUGGGAA